rnacentral:rRNA from 1 species
UGGAUGAUGUGGUUUAAUUCGAUGCAACGCGAAAACCUUACCCACCUUUGACAUGUACGGAAUCCUUUAGAGAUAGAGGAGUGCUCGAAAGAGAGCCGUAACACAGGUGCUGCAUGGCUGUCGUCAGCUCGUGUCGUGAGAUGUUGGGUUAAGUCCCGCAACGAGCGCAACCCUUGUCAUUAGUUGCUACGAAAGGGCACUCUAAUGAGACUGCCGGUGACAAACCGGAGGAAGUGGGGAUGACGUCAAGUCCUCAUGGCCCUUAUAGGUGGGGCUACACACGUCAUACAAUGGUCGGUACAAAGGGUUGCCAAGCCGCGAGGUGGAGCUAAUCCCAUAAAACCGAUCGUAGUCCGGAUCGCAGUCUGCAACUCGACUGCGUGAAGUCGGAAUCGCUAGUAAUCGUGAAUCAGAAUGUCCAACGGUCCGAAUACGUUCCGGCCUU